GACGAACGCUGGCGGCGUGCUUAACACAUGCAAGUCGAACGGAAAGGCCCUGCUUUCGUGGGGUGCUCGAGUGGCGAACGGGUGAGUAACACGUGAGUAACCUGCCCUUGACUUUGGGAUAACUUCAGGAAACUGGGUCUAAUACCGGAUAGGCGCUCCUGCUGCAUGGUGGGGGUUGGAAAGUUUCGGCGGUUGGGGAUGGACUCGCGGCUUAUCAGCUUGUUGGUGGGGUAGUGGCUUACCAAGGCUUUGACGGGUAGCCGGCCUGGGAGGGUGACCGGCCACAUAGGGACUGAGAUACGGCCCAGACGCAUACGGGAGGCAGCAGUGGGGAAUAGUGCACAAUGGGCGGAAGCCUGAUGCAGCAACGCCGCGUGCGGGAUGACGGCCUUCGGGUUGUAAACCGCUUUCGCCUGUGACGAAGCGUGAGUGACGGUAAUGGGUAAAGAAGCACCGGCUAACUACGU
rnacentral:rRNA from 1 species